UCGGCCUAUACAUUGGUACUUGCAGAUGCAGGAAUGGAUGUCAAGCAUGAAAGAGAAUGAUCAAUAUUCCAGCGAACAAGCAGUAGAAAACUGAUAAUGAUACAAUGACAUCAGAAGUAGUAGAUGGCGCUUCUUCUGCCUAAAUAAGACAACAGUAUCUCUGGUUUCUUCAGCUAGCAAAAUGUUCGAUCAAACGUGCUGUGUGUUUUAAUUCACAUCCUCAUGCAUCUGUCUCCUACAAAUUGUGUUGUUGAUAUCACGGCAACUAGCUAGUAGUCUACUAGCUACUAGUAUUAGUCAGAAUUUGAAGGCACCCGGCUUGAGGGAUAGCAAGUUGCUUUGGUGAGAGCCAUACAGGAGACCAGCGCCAAUGGUGUAGAGGCACUUAGGGAGGGUGCUGUGCUGCAAUCUGCUGGCUUUGGUGUUCGAUUGCUAGGGGGCCUAAUUGGGUAGAGAUUAAGACUGUGGUAGAAUCGAUGUCCUGACGACAACUCCCCCAGUACAGAUUACACAAAAAGAUACCGCUCAAGCCAAAGUGGUGGGAACUCAGUAGCCGAAGUGGUGGAGUACCAGAGGUUUAACCACAUGAAUAUAUCUACCAUUGUUAGCCCCCAAAAAAACUGAACAUUCCAGGACAGUCAUUUAACGUUGGCCUUUACAUACAGUUUAACACGGCUAUGGCUAGCAUGCAUUAAAUCAGAUAGGAGCUUCAAGGAUAACACUAACCAUGCAUGCAAAUGAGCUGACAAUACCCCAAAUCGUGGCAGGGCAUGCAAAGACACAUACCAACAGGCUCAAAACAAUUAACUAAGUAACGAGCUGACAAAGCAGUUCUAGUUAAUUAGGAGCUAAC
rnacentral:lncRNA from 1 species